rnacentral:rRNA from 1 species
GACGAACGCUGGCGGCGUGCUUAACACAUGCAAGUCGAACGGUAAGGCCCUUCGGGGUACACGAGUGGCGAACGGGUGAGUAACACGUGGGUGAUCUGCCCUGCACUUCGGGAUAAGCCUGGGAAACUGGGUCUAAUACCGGAUAGGACCACUGCCUGCAUGGGUGGUGGUGGAAAGCUUUUGCGGUGUGGGAUGGGCCCGCGGCAUAUCAGCUUGUUGGUGGGGUGAUGGCCUACCAAGGCGACGACGGGUAGCCGGCCUGAGAGGGUGACCGGCCACACUGGGACUGAGAUACGGCCCAGACGCCUACGGGAGGCAGCAGUGGGGAAUAUUGCACAAUGAGCGCAAGCCUGAUGCAGCGACUCCGCGUGAGGGAUGACGGCCUUCGGGUUGUAAACCUCUUUCAGUAGGGACGAAGCGCAAGUGACGGUACCUACAGAAGAAGGACCGGCCAACUACGUGCCAGCCGCCGCCGUAA